AUGCUCACUUCAGCAGCACAUACACUAAGAUUGGAAUGAUACAGAGGAAGGUUAGCAUGGCCCCUGCUGCAGGAUGACACACAAAUCUGUGAAGUGUUCCAUAUUUUU